rnacentral:lncRNA from 1 species
AGUAUUUAAAAAUAUAUAAACAUCUAUAUAUAUACACAUAUAUAUAAAGAGUGAUUAAAAAUAUAUAUAUAAAACUUCUAUUUUGUCAAAUUUCAAAAAAGCUUGAUUAAAAUGUACAAAAAGAAUCAAAAAUUGACGACGAAGAAGACGAAGACGACUAUAACUUAUCGACAUCUACCACAGUUAUAUUCAUGUUCAUAUACAGUAUAUACAUUACUGCCAUGUCAGCUAUUUUGUCAAUGUGUUCGAUGUUCGUGCCAAAAUAUUGUGAACAAAAUCGCUUCUGUCUUUUCUGAAAAAUUGAUAUUUAAAUUUUAAUAAUAAAACCGUGCAAAGAUAUUAUGUACUUGAGCUUAAAUUUUCGAAAAAGAAAAAAAAAAUUCUUGUAAAAAUUUGUAUGCGCAUAUUAUACUGUAAACCCGCUAAAAUUGUACUUAUUGUUACGAUAAAUAUAAUAAUAAAUUGUACGAAUAUUAUUUGUUUCUGAAAUAAAUAUUCUUCUAUAACUGUAAAAAAAAAAAAAAAAAAUUAUUAUUUUUCAAACAGACAUUCAAAUGACCUCUUGAG